AAAAUCCGUCGACUUUAAAAAUCGUGAGGGUUCAAGNCCCUCUAUCCCCA
rnacentral:tRNA from 3 species